AGAUGAUUUUUUAUGUACUCAACACCAAGUUCAAUAUCUUUAUAUGGCUUACCACCCCAAUCAAGAGCAAUGGAAUCGGUAAAACGUUGUCCAUAACCUGUAGAUCCAGUAGGAUCAAGAGCAAAUACAAUAAAACCAGCAUUAGCAAAAACUGCAGGAUUCCAGCGCGUUGACCAACUAUCUGUCCAAGAACCUUGAGGUCCCCCGUGUAUAAGCACUGCUACAGGAUAUUUUUUAGAUUUAUCAAAACUUUCGGGCUUUACAAUCCAUGCAUGAAUUCUGUGACCAUGAGUGCCAGGAAACCAAAUUUCUUCAUAAGAAGUUGGCGAUAAUCCGACAUUGUUCUCGAGUAAAACACUUUCGUUUAACGUUUCAACGUUAAUCUUUGCGUAAUAAGGGGGAUUGAUUAAAGAUGACUUCGUAAGCCAUAAGGAAGAAGAUUUAGGGACACUAAUAGAAGAAACAGAGUGUUCUUCUGUCAUUGGGAUAACUUGGUGGUGAAAUAUAGAAACAAAAAACAAAAUUUGCUUCCCAUAAUUCUCAGCAAUAGCAAAAAGACCUGGUUCGCCUCCUUUGAAAACCCCCCAUUCAAUGCUGGAAGGCGAUCGGUCCCAAUGACGAGCAAUGUGCUUUUUAGCGCCUGACUCGGACUCAUAUACCAUUAUUUGAUUUUGAUCGCUUUCGUACUGUGGUGUUUGCAUUUCAAGCCAUGCAAUAUGAUUUCCAUCUUUGGCUAGUCUUGGUGAAGAGCAUGCACCCUUCGCAGUGCUCAAUGACUUCAGAUUCCGAGUGUUCAGAUUAAUCUCGUAAACAACUGUCUUUGUUUGUGUUGCCGGAUUUAAUUUCGGGUCUUUUGCUACAAAGACAAGUUUGUCGUAGUUAGAAUCAAAGUCAGAAAGACCUCCGAAGGGUUCGACA